CGCAGCAUUGUCAAAUUCAGUGCUUCUACCCCUAGUGGACUGCACUGGCCAAAAUUGCUGCCACAGUGACACUGUAGUCCAUGGGCCCCACGUCUUUGCUCAGUGGAUGCUGGGGAUAAAUAUCUACUGCAGACAACA